rnacentral:rRNA from 1 species
AGUGAACGCUGGCGGUAGGCCUAACACAUGCAAGUCGAACGGCAGCACAGUAAGAGCUUGCUCUUACGGGUGGCGAGUGGCGGACGGGUGAGGAAUACAUCGGAAUCUACUUUCUCGUGGGGGAUAACGUAGGGAAACUUACGCUAAUACCGCAUACGACCUACGGGUGAAAGCAGUGGAUCUUCGGACCUUUCGCGAUUGAAUGAGCCGAUGUCGGAUUAGCUAGUUGGCUGGGUAAAGGCCCACCAAGGCGACGAUCCGUAGCUGGUCUGAGAGGAUGAUCAGCCACACUGGAACUUAGACACGGUCCAGACUCCUACGGGAGGCAGCAGUGGGGAAUCUUGGACAAUGGGCGCAAGCCUGAUCCAGCCAUACCGCGUGGGUGAAGAAGGCCUUCGGGUUGUAAAGCCCUCUUGUUGGGAAAGAAAAGCAGCAGGUUAAUACCCCGCUGUUCUGACGGUACCUAAAGAAUAAGCACCGGCUAACUUCGUG